rnacentral:rRNA from 1 species
UGGGAGGCAGCAGUGGGGAAUCUUCCGCAAUGGACGAAAGUCUGACGGAGCAACGCCGCGUGAGUGAUGAAGGCUUUCGGGUCGUAAAACUCUGUUGUUAGGGAAGAACAAGUACGAGAGUAACUGCUCGUACCUUGACGGUACCUAACCAGAAAGCCACGGCUAACUACGUGCCAGCAGCCGCGGUAAUACGUAGGUGGCAAGCGUUAUCCGGAAUUAUUGGGCGUAAAGCGCGCGCAGGCGGUUUCUUAAGUCUGAUGUGAAAGCCCACGGCUCAACCGUGGAGGGUCAUUGGAAACUGGGGAACUUGAGUGCAGAAGAGAAAAGCGGAAUUCCACGUGUAGCGGUGAAAUGCGUAGAGAUGUGGAGGAACACCAGUGGCGAAGGCGGCUUUUUGGUCUGUAACUGACGCUGAGCGCGAAAGGAUUUC